rnacentral:rRNA from 1 species
AACGCGAAGAACCUUACCUGGGCUUGACAUGCUGGUGAAAGCCGGUGGAAACACCGGCCCCUCUUCGGAGCGCCAGCACAGGUGCUGCAUGGCUGUCGUCAGCUCGUGUCGUGAGAUGUUGGGUUAAGUCCCGCAACGAGCGCAACCCUCGCUCCCAGUUGCCAGCGGUUCGGCCGGGGACUCUGGGGGGACUGCCGGCGUUAAGCCGGAGGAAGGUGGGGACGACGUCAAGUCAUCACGGCCCUUACGUCCAGGGCGACACACGUGCUACAAUGCCCGGUACAGCGCGUCGCGAACUCGCGAGAGGGAGCCAAUCGCUAAAAGCCGGGCUAAGUUCGGAUUGCAGUCUGCAACUCGACUGCAUGAAGCCGGAAUCGCUAGUAAUCGCGGAUCAGCCACGCCGCGGUGAAUACGUUCCCGGGCCUUGUACACACCGCAUAC